rnacentral:miRNA from 2 species
UAAUCUCAAAUUGUAACAGUGG